rnacentral:rRNA from 1 species
GGAACCUGCCUUGUACAGGGGAAUAGCCCAGGGAAACUUGGAUUAAUGCCCCGUAGUACCGCGACCCGGCAUCGGGAUGCGGUUAAAGUCUUCGGGCGGUACAAGAUGGCCAUGCGUCCCAUUAGCUAGUUGGUAAGGUAACGGCUUACCAAGGCUACGAUGGGUAGGGGCCCUGAGAGGGGGAUCCCCCACACUGGUACUGAGACACGGACCAGACUCCUACGGGAGGCAGCAGUGAGGAAUAUUGGACAAUGGAGGAGACUCUGAUCCAGCCAUGCCGCGUGCAGGAAGAAUGCCCUAUGGGUAGUAAACUGCUUUUAUACGGGAAGAAAAAGAGCUACGUGUAGCUUACUGACGGUACCGUAAGAAUAAGGACCGGCUAACUCCGUGCCAGCAGCCGCGGUAAUACGGAGGGUCCGAGCGUUAUCCGGAAUUAUUGGGUUUAAAGGGUCCGUAGGCGGGCCGAUAAGUCAGGGGUGAAAGUCUGCCGCUCAACGGUAGAACUGCCUUUGAUACUGUCGGUCUUGAGUUAUAGUGAAGUUGCCGGAAUAUGUAGUGUAGCGGUGAAAUGCAUAGAUAUUACAUAGAACACCGAUUGCGAAGGCAGGUGACUAACUAUAUACUGACGCUGAUGGACGAAAGCGUGGGGAGCGAACAGGAUUAGAUACCCUGGUAGUCCACGCCGUAAACGAUGGAUACUAGCUGUCCGGUGCCUUGAGUACUGGGCGGCCAAGCGAAA